AGGUAAGCUACUAAGAGCGAAUGGUGGAUGCCUUGACUGGUAAAGGCGAUGAAGGACGUACUAGACUGCGAUAAGCUACGGGGAGCUGUCAAGAAGCUUUGAUCCGUAGAUUUCCGAAUGGGGCAACCCAAUGUAUAGAGAUAUACAUUACCUAUAUAGGAGCGAACGAGGGGAAUUGAAACAUCUUAGUACCCUCAGGAAAAGAAAUCAAUAGAGAUUGCGUCAGUAGCGGCGAGCGAAAGCGCAAGAGGGCAAACCCAGUGCUUGCACUGGGGGUUGUAGGACUGCAAUGUGCAAGAGCUGAGUUUAGCAGAACAUUCUGGAAAGUAUAGCCAUAGAGGGUGAUAGUCCCGUAUGCGAAAAACAAAGCUUAGCUAGCAGUAUCCUGAGUAGGGCGGGACACGAGGAAUCCUGUCUGAAUCCGGGUCGACCACGAUCCAACCCUAAAUACUAAUACCAGAUCGAUAGUGCACAAGUACCGUGAGGGAAAGGUGAAAAGAACUGAGGUGAUCAGAGUGAAAUAGAACCUGAAACCAUUUGCUUACAAUCAUUCAGAGCACUAUGUAGCAAUACAGUGUGAUGGACUGCCUUUUGCAUAAUGAGCCUGCGAGUUGUGGUGUCUGGCAAGGUUAAGCAAACGCGAAGCCGUAGCGAAAGCGAGUCUGAAUAGGGCGCUUAGUCAGAUGCUGCAGACCCGAAACGAAGUGAUCUAUCCAUGAGCAAGUUGAAGCUAGUGUAAGAACUAGUGGAGGACUGAACCCAUAGGCGUUGAAAAGCCCCGGGAUGACUUGUGGAUAGGGGUGAAAGGCCAAUCAAACUUCGUGAUAGCUGGUUCUCUCCGAAAUAUAUUUAGGUAUAGCGUUGUGUCGUAAUAUAAGGGGGUAGAGCACUGAAUGGGCUAGGGCAUACACCAAUGUACCAAACCCUAUCAAACUCCGAAUACCUUAUAUGUAAUCACAGCAGUCAGGCGGCGAGUGAUAAAAUCCGUCGUCAAGAGGGAAACAACCCAGACUACCAGCUAAGGUCCCUAAAUCUUACUUAAGUGGAAAACGAUGUGAAGUUACUUAAACAACCAGGAGGUUGGCUUAGAAGCAGCCAUCCUUUAAAGAAAGCGUAAUAGCUCACUGGUCUAGUGAUUUUGCGCGGAAAAUAUAACGGGGCUAAAGUAAGUACCGAAGCUGUAGACUUAGUUUACUAAGUGGUAGGAGAGCGUUCUAUUUGCGUCGAAGGUAUACCGGUAAGGAGUGCUGGAGCGAAUAGAAGUGAGCAUGCAGGCAUGAGUAGCGAUAAUUAAUGUGAGAAUCAUUAACGCCGUAAACCCAAGGUUUCCUACGCGAUGCUCGUCAUCGUAGGGUUAGUCGGGUCCUAAGUCGAGUCCGAAAGGGGUAGACGAUGGCAAAUUGGUUAAUAUUCCAAUACCAACAUUAGUGUGCGAUGGAAGGACGCUUAGGGCUAAGGGGGCUAGCGGAUGGAAGUGCUAGUCUAA
rnacentral:rRNA from 1 species